AACGAACGCUGGCGGCAGGCCUAACACAUGCAAGUCGAACGCUCGUAGCAAUACGAGAGUGGCAGACGGGUGAGUAACACGUGGGAACCUUCCCAACGGUCGGGAAUAGCUCAGGGAAACUUGAGGUAAUACCGGAUACGCCCUUCGGGGGAAAGAUUUAUCGCCGUUGGAUGGGCCCGCGUCGGAUUAGCUAGUUGGUGAGGUAACGGCUCACCAAGGCGACGAUCCGUAGCUGGUCUGAGAGGAUGAUCAGCCACACUGGGACUGAGACACGGCC
rnacentral:rRNA from 1 species